GCUCAUGAUACUGAGAUGAUCAUGUGGGUUUCAUAAUUAUCUAUAAUAUCUCCAAUAUGAGCUUGAUUAGGCACCAGGAGCUUUCUUUUUAUAAUGCAACAAUAAUCGCCUCAAAAACUAGGACUUGAGGUACUUCAAAACUAGCUUUGAUCUCGUUCUAUUAUGUCCUUCAACAGUCCAGAAAAAAUAAAAUUAAAAAGACAUUGGUUUAACAUUAAUAUAAGUAGCCUGUAACACAGCUCUUUCUAUUCCAUUAAUUUGUGUAAUUGAUUACUUUUUUUUAUU
rnacentral:misc_RNA from 1 species